UUGUCUAAUGCGAUACGAGCCAGAAGUAGUACGUGCUUCAAGAUUUCCACAAUUGAUAAUAUUGAAAAAAAAAAACAAUUGUCAAACAACAAAUUUGUUCAAGUUCAAGUUUAGUGCACAUCGCAAGAUCAGAUAGUUAGGAUCGUUGGUGGGGCAACAAAAUCAACUCUAUUUUAAAGUUUGGCAGCACUUUUCAGAGCGCGUUCGAACUCAGCGAGUGAUAACUGUAAUUACAACAACUGUUAUAUGAUGAAUGAAAUUAAGUAUCUCCUGCACAGAUGACUCAGCAUCGUGUUUGGCAUUGGACUUGACAAGGCAUUGGAGCACAGUUUGAAAGGCUUUUUAUGCACGCAUACAUACGCACACGCACAGGCACACGCAUGCAUAUGCACAUGCACAGGCACACGCACACAUACAGCUGUAGGUUAACAUUGGCGCACUAAUCUUUGGAGUGAAUGUGAAUAACAGCAACAAGAGGAACAGCAACAGCAACAACAACAACAGCAGAGAGAACAACAGAUAAUUGCGGAGUGAGGUAAAGUGAUUGGAAUUGCGAUAAGCUGCCGCCACUUUGUAGGUGACCCUUUUGGCUGAAGAAUACAAUUUGAAGGGCGUUCUCUCUCUCUCUCCCUCAUAUACACUAUGUGUCCCACCUGUUGCGUUUACCACCUUUCACAGAAACCCCCUGCCCCAAGCCAUUGCUACACACACACACGCACGCUAUUGCAUUCAUUGAGGAUUGCAUAUCGUAAACGUAUAUCGUAUUUGACUAGCU